rnacentral:rRNA from 1 species
UGUAACUGGGGGGCAGAGACAGGGGUAUGACGAGGGUGGCAAGCGGUGUUCGGAUGUACUGGGCGUACAGGGAGCGUAGGCGGUUGGAUAAGGCCUCCGUGAAAUCUCCAGGGUUAACCUGGAAAGUGCAGAGGGGACUGUGCAGCGAGAGGAUGGGAGAGGAGCGCGGAAUUCCCGGUGUAGCGGUGAAAUGCGUAGAGAUCGGGAGGAAGGCCGGUGGCGAAGGCGGCGCUCUGGAACAUUUCUGACGCUGAGGCUCGAAAGCGUGGGGAGCAAACAGGAUUAGAUACCCCUGUAGUC